rnacentral:misc_RNA from 1 species
AUUCAUUACAGGCAUACGCCCAAAAAAGCCUUUGCAGUUUGAGCUGUGAUUACUUGGUAUGUCAAAAGCAAAAAUUAUAUAAAACGACUCAGUUUACGUUAUUAUCUGAUAAGGUAGCUCUUUCAUGAUCAAGUCCGUGAAGUCUGAAACCAUGAAAUAUGCCAAUUUUGCCAUUCGCUCAUUAACAGGUUUUAAUAUAAAAGGCAAUAGUAUCAAGCUGUGUUUUUCUCAAACAAGCAAGCACAAACAGAUGCAUCAUACUGCUUGUAACAAAGUAAAGAUUGAUCUACCGCCUCCAAAUGGCAUUUUGUGAAAUUCCACUCACUUUUUGAGAUGAGGGAAGCAAGCGUAUAGAUCAGAUUUAGGAUGCUUUGCUUCAGCAUGUUCCUUGCACUUCACCUCUGACGUUGUGCACAUGAAAGUCUGCAUGCAAACCUUGCACUGGAUAUUCAUGGCUUUCUUGUUUGAUUCUAAUUGGCUUCCCUUGGCGGCAGCUUUCUGCUUCUCGAUGUGCUUCUCGCGAGCCAUCUUAGCCUUUUGUCCGUUGCCCCCUCCCAUUUUUCCCUUCGAUUAACGCGAAAUUGACGACCCCCGAAGAAACCCUAAUUCUGAACUUUCAGGGCAAAGAGGC